CGNANUGGCNGGCGUGCCUAAUACAUGCAAGUCGAGCGGACGGAUGGGAGCUUGCUCCCUGAAGUCAGCGGCGGACGGGUGAGUAACACGUGGGCAACCUGCCUGUAAGACUGGGAUAACUCCGGGAAACCGGGGCUAAUACCGGAUAACUCUUUUCCUCACAUGAGGAAAAGCUGAAAGAUGGUUUCGGCUAUCACUUACAGAUGGGCCCGCGGCGCAUUAGCUAGUUGGUGAGGUAACGGCUCACCAAGGCCACGAUGCGUAGCCGACCUGAGAGGGUGAUCGGCCACACUGGGACUGAGACACGGCCCAGACUCCUACGGGAGGCAGCAGUAGGGAAUCUUCCGCAAUGGACGAAAGUCUGACGGAGCAACGCCGCGUGAGUGAUGAAGGUUUUCGGAUCGUAAAACUCUGUUGUCAGGGAAGAACAAGUACCGGAGUAACUGCCGGUACCUUGACGGUACCUGACCAGAAAGCCACUGCUAACUACGUGCCAUCUGCCGCGGUAAUACGUAGGUGUCAAGCGUUGUUCGGAAUUACCGGGCGUUCANCCCCGCUUGGCGG
rnacentral:rRNA from 1 species